rnacentral:rRNA from 1 species
GACGAACGCUGGCGGCGUGCUUAACACAUGCAAGUCGAGGGCACCCAGCAAUGGGUGACCGGCGAACGGGUGCGUAACACGUGAGCAACCUACCGAUUUCUGGGGGAUAGCCGGCCCAACGGCCGGGUAAUACCGCAUACGCUCACUACAGGGAGUCCUGUGGUGAGGAAACCUCCGGGGGAAAUCGCGGGGCUCGCGGCCUAUCAGCUAGUUGGUGCGGUAACGGCGCACCAAGGCGAUGACGGGUAGCUGGUCUGAGAGGAUGGCCAGCCACAUUGGGACUGAGAGACGGCCCAGACUCCUACGGGAGGCAGCAGUGGGGAAUCUUGCGCAAUGGACGAAAGUCUGACGCAGUGACGCCGCGUGCGGGAGGAAGCUCUUCGGGGUGUAAACCGCUGUUGCCCGGGACGAAUGCCCUUUUUGAAGGGGUUGACGGUACCGGGUGAGGAAGCGCCGGCUAACUCUGUGCCAGCAGCCGCGGUAAUACAGAGGGCGCGAGCGUGUCGG